rnacentral:rRNA from 1 species
UACGGGGGGGGCAAGCGUUGUUCGGAAUUACUGGGCGUAAAGGGCGCGUAGGCGGCAUGGCAAGUGGAUGGUGAAAUCCCUCGGCUUAACCGAGGAACUGCCGUCCAAACUGCUUCGCUUGAGACCGGGAGAGGUGAGUGGAAUUCCCAGUGUAGCGGUGAAAUGCGUAGAUAUUGGGAGGAACACCAGUGGCGAAGGCGGCUCACUGGACCGGUACUGACGCUGAUGCGCGAAAGCGUGGGGAGCAAACAGG